rnacentral:rRNA from 1 species
AGUCGAGCGGCAGCACGGGAGCUUGCUCCUGGUGGCGAGCGGCGGACGGGUGAGUAAUGCCUAGGAAUCUGCCUGGUAGUGGGGGAUAACGUUCGGAAACGGACGCUAAUACCGCAUACGUCCUACGGGAGAAAGUGGGGGAUCUUCGGACCUCACGCUAUCAGAUGAGCCUAGGUCGGAUUAGCUAGUUGGUGAGGUAAUGGCUCACCAAGGCGACGAUCCGUAACUGGUCUGAGAGGAUGAUCAGUCACACUGGAACUGAGACACGGUCCAGACUCCUACGGGAGGCAGCAGUGGGGAAUAUUGGACAAUGGGCGAAAGCCUGAUCCAGCCAUGCCGCGUGUGUGAAGAAGGUCUUCGGAUUGUAAAGCACUUUAAGUUGGGAGGAAGGGUUGUAGAUUAAUACUCUGCAAUUUUGACGUUACCGACAGAAUAAGCACCGGCUAACUUCGUGCCAGCAGCCGCGGUAAUACGAAGGGUGCAAGCGUUAAUCGGAAUUACUGGGCGUAAAGCGCGCGUAGGUGGUUCAGCAAGUUGGAUGUGAAAUCCCCGGGCUCAACCUGGGAACUGCAUCCAAAACUACUGAGCUAGAGUACGGUAGAGGGUGGUGGAAUUUCCUGUGUAGCGGUGAAAUGCGUAGAUAUAGGAAGGAACACCAGUGGCGAAGGCGACCACCUGGACUGAUACUGACACUGAGGUGCGAAAGCGUGGGGAGCAAACAGGAUUAGAUACCCUGGUAGUCCACGCCGUAAACGAUGUCGACUAGCCGUUGGGAUCCUUG